GCCGCAGUUGCCAACGUGGUCAAGGCGCUUGUCUGAAGAACAAGUUAUCGGUGUUCGAUUCACCGCUGCGGCA
rnacentral:tRNA from 1 species